GAUGAACGCUGGCGGCGUGCCUAAUACAUGCAAGUCGAGCGAACAGACGAGGAGCUUGCUCCUCUGACGUUAGCGGCGGACGGGUGAGUAACACGUGGAUAACCUACCUAUAAGACUGGGAUAACUUCGGGAAACCGGAGCUAAUACCGGAUAAUAUAUUGAACCGCAUGGUUCAAUAGUGAAAGACGGUUUCGCUGUCACUUAUAGAUGGAUCCGCGCCGCAUUAGCUAGUUGGUAAGGUAACGGCUUACCAAGGCAACGAUGCGUAGCCGACCUGAGAGGGUGAUCGGCCACACUGGAACUGAGACGCGGUCCAGACUCCUACGGGAGGCAGCAGUAGGGAAUCUUCCGCAAUGGGCGAAAGCCUGACGGAGCAACGCCGCGUGAGUGAUGAAGGUCUUCGGAUCGUAAAACUCUGUUAUUAGGGAAGAACAAAUGUGUAAGUAACUAUGCACGUCUUGACGGUACCUAAUCAGAAAGCCACGGCUAACUACGUG
rnacentral:rRNA from 1 species